rnacentral:rRNA from 1 species
CGAACAGACGAGGAGCUUGCUCCUUUGACGUUAGCGGCGGACGGGUGAGUAACACGUAGGUAACCUACCUAUAAGACUGGGAUAACUUCGGGAAACCGGAGCUAAUACCGGAUAAUAUUUCGAACCGCAUGGUUCGAUAGUGAAAGGUGGCUUUGCUAUCACUUAUAGAUGGACCUGCGCCGUAUUAGCUAGUUGGUAAGGUAACGGCUUACCAAGGCAACGAUACGUAGCCGACCUGAGAGGGUGAUCGGCCACACUGGAACUGAGACACGGCCCAGACUCCUACGGGAGGCAGCAGUAGGGAAUCUUCCGCAAUGGGCGAAAGCCUGACGGAGCAACGCCGCGUGAGUGAUGAAGGUCUUCGGAUCGUAAAACUCUGUUAUUAGGGAAGAACAAACGUGUAAGUAACUGGGCACGUCUUGACGGUACCUAAUCAGAAAGCCACGGCUAACUACGUGCCAGCAGCCGCGGUAAUACGUAGGUGGCAAGCGUUAUCCGGAGUUAUUGGGCGUAAAGCGCGCGUAGGCGGUUUUUUAAGUCUGAUGUGAAAGCCCACGGCUCAACCGUGGAGGGUCAUUGGAAACUGGAAAACUUGAGUGCAGAAGAGGAAAGUGGAAUUCCAUGUGUAGCGGUGAAAUGCGCAGAGAUAUGGAGGAACACCAGUGGCGAAGGCGACUUUCUGGUCUGUAACUGACGCUGAUGUGCGAAAGCGUGGGGAUCAAACAGGA